rnacentral:rRNA from 1 species
GGCAGCAGCUAAGAAUAUUCCGCAAUGGACGAAAGUCUGACGGAGCGACGCCGCGUGGAUGAUGAAGGCCGGAAGGUUGUAAAGUCCUUUUAUGACUGAGGAAUAAGUGAAGUGAGAGAAACGCUUCAUGGUGACUGUAGGUCAUGAAUAAGCAACGGCUAAUUACGUGCCAGCAGCCGCGGUAACACGUAAGUUGCGAGCGUUGUUCGGAAUUAUUGGGCGUAAAGGGUAUGUAGGCGGUUCUGCAAGUCUGGUGUGAAAUGCCGGGGCUCAACCCCGGAACUGCGUUGGAAACUGCAGGACUUGAAUCGCUGAGGGGCAGCCAGAAUUCCAGGUGUAGGGGUGAAAUCUGUAGAUAUCUGGAAGAAUACCAAUGGCGAAGGCAGGCUGCCAGCAGAUGAUUGACGCUGAGGUAUGAAGGUGCGGGGAGCAAACAGGAUUAGAUACCCUGGUAGUCCGCACAGUCAACUAUGUACACUGGGUGUCCGCUCAUGAGAGUGGGUGCCGAAGCAAACGCGAUAAGUGUACCGCCUGGGGAGUAUGCCCGCAAGGGUGAAACUCAAAGGAAUUGACGG